rnacentral:rRNA from 1 species
AGAGGCGAUGAAAGACGUUACAGCCUGCGAAAAGCGUCGGGGAGGCGGCAAUAUCCUGUGAUCCGGCGAUAUCUGAAUGGGGAAACCCACCUACCAUAAGGUAGGUACCCCGCUAUAUUUUAUAGCGGGGGGCAAACCGGGAGAAGUGAACAUCUCAGUAACCUGAGGAAAAGACAUCAAUAGAGAUUCCCCUAGUAGCGGCGAGCGAACGGGGAGGAGCCGA